rnacentral:rRNA from 1 species
UAAGGAAUAUUGGGCAAUGGAGGCAACUCUGACCCAGCCAUGCCGCGUGCAGGAAGACGGCCCUAUGGGUUGUAAACUGCUUUUAAUAGGGAUUAAAGUCGACUACGUGUAGUUGUUUGCAAGUACCUAUAGAAUAAGCAUCGGCUAACUCCGUGCCAGCAGCCGCGGUAAUACGGAGGAUGCAAGCGUUAUCCGGAUUUAUUGGGUUUAAAGGGUGCGCAGGCGGACUAAUAAGUCAGUGGUGAAAUUUACAUGCUUAACAUGUGACGUGCCAUUGAUACUGUUAGACUAGUAUACAAAUGACGUAGCUGGAAUGUGUUAUGUAGCGGUGAAAUGCAUAGAUAUAACACAGAACACCGAUCGUGAAGACAGGUUACGAAUUUGUGAUAGACGCUCAUGCACGAAAGCGUGGGGAUCAAACAGG